GAUACGGAGUUAGGUAGCGAACCGUGGCUCAGUUAGCUUCCGUUCAUUCUCGCGGAACGUUGGUCGGUUAGCUUCUGUGGUGCAGUUUUUACGCACGUUGCCUCUUUAACUGUUCGCGUUAUCGCCAACGGAUUUUCAUGUGAAAGUGAACGUGACGUGCUCGUGGAUUCUCCUGUAUGCCGUCAGAGUGUGUGAAUGUGCUCGUGAUACUAAUGGAGAUCGGUUGGUGACGGAGAAGUGCAUGUAUCUUGCCAGGAGUGAAGUGUCAAGUGCCGGCGGACAAUGAAUACGAUGAUACGGAGCUGUUUCCUCUUUUGGCUGCUUUUGCAGGGAUACGUUCAAGGAACGAGUCGCUGAAAAUAAACGGAAACCAGACAAACGAUCGUGACUGAAUUUUUACAGGGUAUCAUAACUUCAGUCACUUAAAUUUUUCAUAGAAUUUUCAACUCGGUGAUUAAAAAAGAGCUCUAAACGUAAACAAAAAAACCUUUCAAAAACGUAAAAAGGAGAUGAAUUCAUUUCUCCAGCUCGUGAGAUUGGAAAGUCGAUCGGGGCCCAUCCCGAAUGUGUUAAAACAAAAUGCAGUAUAUCAGUGAAGCUCGUCUCGGUUGAAUAGUUGAUUUACGCGAUUUCCCUAUCUUCGUCUCGGGACUCUACCGUUCAUCUGAACUCGGACGUGCUGAAAUCGACUUUUCCAUUCUAAAGGAUCAUCGCUUCUACAGUAAUCAAUACUUUAAAAAUAUUCAACGUGUUUUUUUCGAGAAUAUUAUCCUCAGAGUGAAAAAUUUUAGUUUUUUUAAUUCAGCACAAUUCUAGCGAAACCACGCUGGCAAGAGCUGAAUGAAAAGAAAUUUUACAGAACCGACCAUUUUGAAUGGAAAUAAAUAUUUUUGUUAUUUGUUUUUUAUUUGUUAUUCAUGUAUAUUCGACUGUGUUGAGUCAGUCCAUAAUGAGAUGACUUCAAAUAACUUGUAAAUCAGUGUGGACAAUUUUUUAAAGGACUGCGAAGAAAUACAUGUUUCAAACUGGUUAUUUCAAGGGCGCAUACCGUGCUAUAAUUAU